ACCACCAGGUUGUUGAGCACGGCUACGAUGUUGACCAGCACGUCGGCGGGGGGACACUUCUCGCCCACGCUGCCCGGCAGCUUCUCGAUCAGGUUUCGGAUGAGGCCAGUCAGCGAGCGGAGCUGGUGGUGGUCGGCGGUCCGAACCCGGUCGAGCAGUGGGUUCAGGACGCGCUCCUGCUCCAGAGCCAGGCGGCUCAGCACGCCCGCCCACUGCGGGUAGGAGAGGAGCUGCCCAGCCAGGAGCCUCAUCACGUGUGACUUGGGUCAGCCCCUUCUCAGCUCACGCCUCUCCCUAAACCCUCAGGGAUCCUGGGGGCCUGUCCCUUCUGGGACACUGGCCUCACACUCCUGGCUGCCCCUCCAGUCCCCUGCCUCUCGCACCCCUGGCUGCGCGUCCUGUCCCCCGGUGUCCUCUGCCUCUUGCACCCCUCGCUGUGCAUCCUGUCCCCCGGUGUCCCCUGCCUCUCGCACCCCUGGCUGCGCGUCCUGUCCCCCGGUGUCCUCUGCCUCUUGCACCCCUCGCUGUGCGUCCUGUCCCCCGGUGUCCUCUGCCUCUCGCACCCCUGGCUGCGCGUCCUGUCCCCCGGUGUCCCCUGCCUCUCGCACCCCUGGCUGCGUGUCCUGUCCCCUCCUGUGUCCCCUGCCUCUCGCACCCCUGGCUGCGUGUCCUGUCCCCUCCGGUGUCCCCUGCCUCUCGCACCCCUGGCUGCGUGUCCUGUCCCCUCCGGUGUCCCCUGCCUCUCGCACCCCUGGCUGCGUGUCCUGUCCCCUCCGGUGUCCC